AAACCACAGAGUGAGGGGGUUUAGCAAAGAUAAUGCCAAUCAGAGAGAAGACUGCUCUUGUGGCUGGGGGUUUACUUGGCAGCAAGCUGAGAGAGUGGGUGCUUAUUUGCUCUGCCAUGUUCAAAAUGCUGUUCGAUUACGAGAGGAAACCUAUUCUUUUCCAGCCCUCUGUGAGCUGCAGUGUUGUAUACUGCUUGCUUUCUCUUAAAGCAUAAAUAUUCAGUGGUCCAUCAGAUACUCUUAUUUUUAUUUUAAUAAGUUGUAGUCUGUCUGUAGAAAUCAUCCCUUUCUCUAUCUACCUAUCCUCCAGCCAGCCACUCAGUAACUUAUGUGAACUAGAGCAAGGGAGUAGGAUCGGACACAACUCCAAACUACAAGCACAUGUGUGAUGUGAUAGCAAGAACUGUGAUGCCCAGGGAAGGUGCAGAAAGGACAAAGCCAUUUCAUCCCUCCAUACCAGUGUUUCUCAAACUUCCAUAAUUGUCAGAAAUUCAUGAUUUCUGCCAUAUGUAAGGAUCACCGUUAAUUAUAGGAUUAUUCAUAGCCUUCCUUGAACCCAUUCACUUAAAAUGCCUCCUAUGGCCUCGAAGAAAACAUUACUAACUAUAAAAGCAUAGUUUUGAUGCGUUGAUCUAUUUUUUCUGACCUAUUAAAAGAAAUGUAUCGCUAUAUAAUCAUCUCCUAUAUCUUGAAGAACAUGUAUAAUCAGUGGUACAUGUACCAAAAGAAAUAGGAAUCUACCUUUCAGAAAAGGAUUCAGGGGUGAACAGGUCGAACUAAAAAUCUUGGCUUAUGCGUGCACGUGUAUGAAACAUACACAUUUCAACUAAGCUUCAUUAUUUUACCCCUUCCUUCUGUUAAGACCUUCCUUUCGUAGUAAAUCAGCGACCCAAAGGUUUUGUAUGAUUAAUUUCCCGGGGAUCAGGGGAAGAAUGGUUUGGUGAAUAUUUUGCUGAUUAGAACAGGAGCAGGAGCCCCAAGUGCUCAUAGAGACCACAUAUCUAUUAUGUCCAACACCAAGAAUUCAUCUUUUGACACCAGUAUCAGAUAUACUCUAAAACUUUAGAAUAAGGAAGUGAUUGAAAAUGUUCUAUAAGUAAGGUUUAGAGUCAGCAGGGUUUUAUUCCUCCAUGCUUUACAUACUUUUAAUUUUUUAUUUUGCUUUCAUGUCUCAUUAUGUUUCCAUGGUUUACACAGAAAUCAAAUAAAAAUGUACCAGACCAAAGCUUUAUAACACAGACAAGAAAAAAACACUAAGUAUUAUUCUGAAGUGCUAAUAGAUGUGGCUACUAAGAUCUUUAGGUACUUUUUCAGCAUGAUAAGUGUACUCUAUUCCCCAUCUGCUAUUUCACUGGGACCUCCCCCACCCACUUCCCCUCUGGUAACCAUUUGCUCUCUCUAGUUAAGAGUCUGUGUCUUGGUUUGUCUUUUUAUUUUUCCUUUGCUCAUUUGUUUCUUAAAUUCCACAUAUGAGUGAGAUCAGACAGUACUUGUUCUCUUAUUUCACUUAGCAUUAUACUCUCUAGCUCCAUCCAGGUCAUUGCAAAUGGCAAGAUUUUAUUAUUUUUGACGGCUGAGAAAUAUUCCAUUGUGUGUGUGGUAUGUGUGUGUGUGUGUGCGCGUGCAUAUGCAUAUAUAUCCACAUCUUCCUUCAUUCAAUGGAUACUUGGGCUGCUUCUAAAAUUUGCUUCUAUAAUAACGCUGCUAUAAACAUAGGGGUGUGUAUAUCCCUUUGAAUUAGUGUUUUUGUAUUUUGAGGGAAACACCCAGUAGUGUGAUACCUGGGAUUGUAAGGUAGUUCUAUUUUUAAUUUUUAUUUAUUUAUGAUAGUCAUAGAGAGAGAGAGAGAGAGAGAGGCAGAGACAUAGGCAGAGUGAGAAGCAGGCUCCAUGCACCGGGAGCCCGACGUGGGAUUCGAUCCCGGGACUCCAGGAUCGCGCCCUGGGCCAAAGGCAGGCGCUAAACUGCUGCACCACCCAGGGAUCCCUAUUUUUAAUUUUUUGAGGAACCUCCAUACUGUUUUCCACUAUGGCCGCACCAGUUUGCAUUCCCACCAACAGAGCAAGAGGGUUUUUUUUUUUUUCUACUUCCUCGUCAACACUUGUGGUUUCUUGUGUUGUUGAUUUUAGCCAUCCUGACAGGUGUGAGGUGGUAUCUCAUUGUGGUUGAUUUGCAUUUUCCUGAUGAUGAGCAUCUUUUCAUGUGUCUGUUGGUCAUCUGUAUGUCUUCUUUGGAGGUAUGUUUCUUCAUGUCUUCUGCUCAUUUUUAAAUUGGAUUAUUUGGAUUUUGGGUGUUGAGUUUUAGAAGUUCGUGAGUGGCUAUGUCAUUUGCAGAAAUCUUUUCCCACUCCAUAGGUUGUCUUUCAGUUUUGUUGUCUCCGUCACUGUGCCAAAGCUUUUUAUUUUGAUGAUGUCCCAAUAAUUUCUAUAUGUUUUUGUUUCCCUUGCUUUAGCAGACAUAUCUUGAAAAAUGCUGCUAUGGCUAAUGUUAGAGAAAUCACUGCUUGUGCUCUCUUCUAGGAUUUGUAUGGUUUCAGGUCUCACAUUUAAUUCUUUAAUCUAUUCUGAGUUUGUUUUUGUGUAUGGUGUGAAAGUGAUCCAGUGUUAUUCUUUUACAUGUAGCCAUCCAGUGUUCCCAGCACCAUGUUGAAGAGUACCUAUUUCAGUCUUAAAGAAACGGUGCCUUGAGGCUGCCUCAUUUCCUUUGGAGUCAAUCA
rnacentral:lncRNA from 1 species